AUAAAAUGGUCCGCGGUCUCUUGGUACGAGAUACCUCUCACUUGAGAGACACGGUUAAACUUAAAUGCCUUACGGUCCUCUUACAAAAUCCUGUUGCAUCCACUUGACAACAAACGGCGAAUGUUCCAGACACGACGCACUCUACGUGGGACCAGAGGGCGCUCAUAAGUGACCCACCUGAUUUUCAUCCACCUCGAUAUACCCGGGAGCGUUAUUUAAACGAGGGUACGGAGCCAGGCAGGAACAAACUGAUGAGGAAGAAGUACGCACGAAGGACGAAAAAAGUGAAAAUGCUCAAAGUGCACGGUAUCUCGCUCGAGAAUGCAUCCUGAGUGGCGUCAUUGUUUUCAUCGACGGUGCAUAGCGACAUACGUUAUACUAACGCACAUAGGAGACCCAGCGCCCCCGUGAGCGUGUGGGAGCGAAGAAACUGGGACGACGGCAACAAGAGCGAUAACGCUCGUCGGUGCGGUUUGCACCGUUGCACUGGGCGUUUGACGUGGGUGCACUGGGACUUGGUCACACCAUUUAGAUGGAGUGGUCAUGCGACGCGAGAAGUCAAAGAUGCCGGUGUGCUCGUCCAAUUUGAAAACAUAAAUAAAUAAAAUAUACCAGCAUAUUAUGGUUGGACUAUACACACGUGCAUAGCAGAACGUAUUUCCUGGCGUCAUUUACCUAUGUUCAGCCAGAACAAUACAGUACAGGGAUGAUGAUCAUUGAGCACACUAGGCGACCUGGUCGUGAAUUUAGUCAUGUACGGCAAUGAAACUAUUUUCCAGUUGGUACUCGUGAUCGCUUACGUAAGUGCGUAAAUGCUUACUGCUACUACUGCUGCUUAUACACGUACUGCGGUGACCCACAUGACUCGGCUGAAACUUCUUAAUGGUAAAUACUGGCGAGGAGUGAAAAGUUUACACGAAGCCAGAGAGAGAGAGAGAGAGAGAGAGAGAGAGGAGAAAAAAUAUGUAAAUGGGGGUGAAUACAACGACCCCGUCCUAAAGGAGGGUUUGCACGAACUCGACCCAAGCCAACUUUGAAGGUGAACAUAGUUAACUGGUCUGGAUAAAUCUGCGGCAAAUCAGGAACGUGAUUUGCAUCAGUAGGGUCGAGAAGAGGAAUCCCUAUUUGCCACGAACGCGUUCGUACAGAUGAGGGGUUGCACUCUAGUUGGUAAUCCUGUCGUCUUUUACAAGCCCGAUGGUGCAUAUGUAAAAUACCGUAAUAAUACAUUAAACCGGAUAUCCACGUACUGCGCAGUACUGCCUUAACGAAUACUGCUCGUAUCAUACUACGUCAGCUAGGUAAGGAUUGUUAAGAAUUUUUAUCCAGCCGAUAUACGUAUUCAAGGCUGUUAAAAGCAAGAGGGACGGAAUGGAUUAAGGAAUGUUAUUUUUCGUUUUAUCAAAUUUCACAUAAGAAGGACCGGCAAAAGAAUGCGGAGCCGUUACUUUAAAGUAAAACGUUACGUGACCAGGCAUAUACCACACAAGCAAGCUAUGCUUGCGAGUUGGUACCACCAGGGUCAUCACGUAUGGUCUCCGCAGUGGACUUGCAGGGUUAAACGCGACAUUUGCAUUCCCUCGACUGUAUUCAGCCAGUAUUACGGUAUGCGUAGGUACGAAUAAAAGUCCACCCGUUAGAUAGGGAGAUACCUAUAUAGACGUAGUUACUGCUAUAAUACUCUACCUAUGUGAAUGUAUAUAUACAGUAACAUACGUAAAGACGAAUAUACAUAUAUACGCAGUGUUAAAUAAAAAGAGGGUUGCCAAGAGGGUUUUAUGCUCGCGUGAGGCAGGUCAGUGACGUUUAGACACCGAGCACUCUCGAUGACUGCGUUGGCUUUUUCCACUGCUCCAUGAAAAGAAAAAAAAGAAAAAAAAAACCCAGAAUGAAGAGACGAAGUGGAAGAAACAACAACAAGAAAUAAGUAAAAAGAAAAAAGAAAAAAAAUACAUUUUUUGUUCUCGUCUAACUCUCACUCGUCUAACGUUGGCCCUAUUCCAGAAUUUGAAUUAAGCGCCUAGACGACGACCGCGUCGACUAAAGGAAAAAAAUAUAUAUAUAUAUGCGAUCAUAAAGGAGCCACUUGAAUUACCGUGGUUGAUAUCACGGCCUUUAAGCCGUUUACGUAGCACCCAGUGCGUACACACGUGGGACCAGUUACACGCUUAUUCCAGACCUGUAAAUACAGAAUGGCCAACCCUGCAGCAUCUUCCAAUGUGCAUCCUCAUCAUCCGCGAAACAACUCGUUCUUAGCAGAUCGCGUCUCGACUAUAGAACCGUCCUUGGUUGACUAUAUGAAACCACGUAUGGUACGUUGCUAGGAUAGUCAUUGACUCCACACGGUAUUUCAUCCAAUCCUCACGAAACUAUGGAAAUGAACAAUUAUCGUAAUUUGUCAAUAAAAAAAAAUUUUCUUCAC